rnacentral:rRNA from 1 species
CAGUAGCCGCGGUAAUACGUAGGGUGCAAGCGUUAAUCGGAAUUACUGGCGUAAAGCGUGCGCAGGCGGUUAUAUAAGUCAGAUGUGAAAUCCCCGGGCUCAACCUGGGAACUGCAUUUGAGACUGUAUGGCUAGAGUGUGUCAGAGGGGGGUAGAAUUCCACGUGUAGCAGUGAAAUGCGUAGAUAUGUGGAGGAAUACCGAUGGCGAAGGCAGCCCCCUGGGAUAACACUGACGCUCAUGCACGAAAGCGUGGGGAGCAAACAGGAUUAGAUACCCCAGUAGUCCCUGUCUCUUAUACC